rnacentral:misc_RNA from 1 species
AUUUUUGUCUUUAACUGAAAAAGUAUAGUCUUUUACUAUACUUUUGUCAUUUAAUGUUAAAUUUUGAUUUUAUUUAGUCCCUCAAUUUCAAUUUUAUUGAAAACUUCACUAAUAUUAGUUUCACUAAUAUUAGUUUAAGGACAUAUAUUGAUAUUUUUUAAGCAGUAGGGAUUCAAGUGUUACUUUACUAAAUGUCAUGGGUUCUAGUAGUUCUUUUGUAGGUAGGUGUUAGAAUUAUGACUCAAAGUACUAGUGGGAUUUGGAGAGAGACAUUUUCCUAAUUUGAGUUGGAGAAAUAUUUUUCAAUAGGAGGUGUAUUUCCUAUAUAGAGUAGAAUUCCUAUUUUAAUUUUAUUCCGAAAUUGAGUGGGACUCCUAAUUAG